rnacentral:lncRNA from 1 species
UUUCAUUCUUUGCUUCCUCAGUGGCAAGGAGUUCAAUAAAUAUUUAGGCAAAAGACUAGGACGGUCUGUUUUUAGCCCCUAAACUAGAUUUGUUCUGCUUGUCUCUGCAAUAUUCUUGUUAAAUGUGCACUAGAUUUAAGAUUAGAUCUUUCUGGCAGCUCAAUGAAGAAGCUGCUAAGUUGGAUUGGACCAAGUCAAGAGGCCAUACAUUGAGUGGUGGCAGUUUGCAACACUAUGAAGAAGACGAGGACAGAGAUAAUCACACGGGUUUAUCACAUAAGCUUGGAGGACAAAGUUCAAUUUUCAAUGCUGCAACACUAUGAAGAAGAUGAGGACAAUGAUAAUUACACGGGGUUCUCACAUAAGCUUGGAGGACAAAGUUCAAUUUGCAAUGCUCGAGCAUCUUCAGUGGCUGCUGCCUACAGCCGUUUAGCACAGGCAUCCACCAACCACUCAGAAGCAAUUGAUAUGGAUCAGGAAUCUAAUUCUGGCGAUUCACUUGAUAAUCGUCCACAAUCAAAUCAUACAGAUGCUCUACUGGAAAAGCAGCUAAAUGAUCCAAAAGUAGAGACUUUGGGGAAAUGCAAUGGUGUAUCUAGUGCUAAUGUCUCAUCUGAUGAUCAAAGAAAAUC